rnacentral:tRNA from 1 species
CGAGAAUUAGUUUAUUAAAAAUAAUUUAUUUACAAUAAUUAGAUUAUCUUCUUGA